AUUGAACGCUGGCGGCAGGCUUAACACAUGCAAGUCGAGCGGGGUGAUGGUGCUUGCACUAUCACUUAGCGGCGGACGGGUGAGUAAUGCUUAGGAAUCUGCCUAUUAGUGGGGGACAACAUCUCGAAAGGGAUGCUAAUACCGCAUACGUCCUACGGGAGAAAGCAGGGGAUCACUUGUGACCUUGCGCUAAUAGAUGAGCCGAAGUCGGAUUAGCUAGUUGGUGGGGUAAAGGCCUACCAAGGCGACGAUCUGUAGCGGGUCUGGGAGGAUGAUCCGCCACACUGGGACUGAGACACGGCCCAGACUCCUACGGGAGGCAGCAGUGGGGAAUAUUGGACAAUGGGGGGAACCCUGAUCCAGCCAUGCCGCGUGUGUGAAGAAGGCCUUAUGGUUGUAAAGCACUUUAAGCGAGGAGGAGGCUCUUUUGGUUAAUACCCAAGAUGAGUGGACGUUACUCGCAGAAUAAGCACCGGCUAACUCUGUGCCAGCCGCCGCAGUAA
rnacentral:rRNA from 1 species